AUUGAACGCUGGCGGAAGGCCUAACACAUGCAAGUCGAACGAGUGGCGGACGGGUCAGUAAUGUCUGGGAAACUGCCUGAUGGAGGGGGAUAACUCCUGGACACGUUAGCUAAUACCGCAUACCAUCGGAUGUGCCCCGAUGGGAUUAGCUAGUAGUGGGGGUAACGGCUCACCUAGGCGACGAGCCCUAGCUGGUCGGAGAGGAUGACCAGCCACACUGGAACUGUGACACGGGCCAGACUCCUACGGGAGGCAGCAGUGGGGAAUAUGGGACAAUGGGCGCAAGCCUGAUGCACCCAUGCCGCGUGUAUGAAGACGGCCUUCGGGUUGUAAAGUACUUUCAGCGGGGAGGCGUUACCCGCAGAAGAAGCACCGGCUAACUCCGUGCCAGCCGCCGCGGUAAUUC
rnacentral:rRNA from 1 species